GCAUUUUAUUCUGAAGGGCUCCAAAAAGCCCCUAUCCUCCAUCCAGAAGGCUCUUUCAGGGACCCGAAGAGUGCUCUGCCCAGGCCUGGCGUGGCGAGUGGACUGGUGGGUGACCUCAGACAACGUGGGGACUGAGUCAGCCGCUGCAGGGAGGAAAGUGAGACUUGCAGGAGACACUGAGAGGGAAGUGAAGCCAUGAAUAUUUAGACAGAGGGAGAGUGGAAUUCAACCUGACACUGAUACACAGGAGGAUUGGAUUGAUAGCAAUAGCCUAAAAUUAGAAGCGGUCUACGGGGGAGUUCGGAGUUCAGGCUCUGGAGACAGACUGGGUGAAAAACUCUGAAUUGGCCACUUACUAGCCCAGUAACCUUGGGCAAACUGAUCAACCUGUCUGUGCCUCAGCUCCCUCAUAUGUAAAGUAAUCUCUACUUUACCUUAAUAGACUUCCUCUACGGGAUCGUUGUGAGGAUUAAGUGACUUCUUGCAACAGUGCUUGGCACAUGGUAAGCACAUACUUGUUGCAUUAUAACAGAAUAAAGAUCCUGUCUUAGGUCUGUUGGGAUCUUUCUUUCAUCUAGAGUGCCUUUUGCUGCUUUCCAAAUCCCCCUUCCACCCUUUUAUUUGUUUUGGAGGAAAGAAGUGUGCCAUGGGCUGUGGACUGAAAGUUCGUGUCCCCCACAAAAUUCAUACAUUGAAAUCCUAACCCCCAAAGUGACAGUAUUAGGAGGUGGAGCAUUUGGGAGGUGAUUUGGUCAUGAGGGUGGAGCCUUCAUGCACGGGAUUAGUGCCCUUAUCAAAGGGACCCCAGAGAGCUCUCUAGUUCUCCCUCUGCCAUGUGAGGACACAGAGAAGUUAGCAGUCUGCAACCUGGAAGAAGGCCCUCGCCAAAACCCGGCCAUGCUGGCGUCCUGAUCUUGAAAGUCCAGUCUCCAGAACUGUGAGAAAUAAGUAUUUGUCUUUUAAGCCACCCAGCCCAUGGUAAUUUGUUACAGCAGCCCAAGAGGACUGAGAUAGAUGGUCUAGAUCAGCACUGUCCAAUAGAAAUACGCAAAACACAUAUGAAAUUAAAAAUUCCUAGAAGCCACAUUAAAAAAUAAAGAGAAACAGGUAACAUUAAUUUCAAUUACAUAUUCCACUUAAUUCAAUAUUUCUAAAACAUUAUCCUUUCAAUAUGUAAUCAAUACAAAGAUUUGUCAAAGAGCUACUUUGCUUUUUUUUGUUUACUAAUCUUUGAAAUCCUGUCUAUAUUUUACUUAUAGCACAUUUCAAUUCAGGCACUAGAUCAUCAUCUGAAAUACUUGAUUAUAUUUAGAUUUCAUCAAAUUGACAAUUGAACAAGUAGAUCCACAUACCCAAGUUGUUCCAUACAACUUCCCAGUAACUGAAACCAGUAUCAGUUUUUAAAGUAAAAUUAGUUAAAAUGAAAUGAAAUUCUAGUUCUUCAGGUGCACCAGCCACAUUUCAAGUGCUCAGGGGCUACAUGUGGCUACUGUAUUGAACAGUGCAGGUCUAGAGGUUGCUAUGGGGAGGACUUAGCAUGGAGAAUGGUGUCUGGCUGUAGGAAUCUCAGGCACAAGGAACUUACAAGAACAGAGACUCUGGCAACAUCCUCAGCUUGUUUCUAUUAUGGUGGGAGGCAGGUAGGGUGGUGUGGGGACAGGGGUGUAAAGAGAAUUGCUUGUUCCUUCAAGAACAAAUGCAUACCACUACUCACUGUCUACCAGCUGCUGCCCUGGGUGCCAGGGAUGCGGUGUGAGUUAGCAGGGAGAGAAGGGACCAGACAAAUCCAAGUAUUUACUGGAGAUAUUGAUGGAAAGACAAUAAUACCAGCCGUUGGCAUUUGUCUGUUAUGAGAAGCCUUCCUGGCCACCAUCUCUUUUGGAUCUUCACAGCAGCUGAGACUCAGGGAGGGCUCAGGACGUUAAGUGACUUGCCCAUAGCAUGUGUGGGGAGGAACAAAGGGCAAAGUGCAGGGCUUCUGAACCCAGGUGCAGGCUCUGUGACUUGCUGUCUUCACUCUGGACAAAGGGCUGAAAGGCCGUCAUGUGUGGGGCCUCCUGUUGCAUGAUUUGUAACCAUGGUGGUGGGAGGGGUCUCUGGGGAGGCAAACAACUUCAGCUGGGCAGUGGAGGCCUCCCAUCCAUGAUGUCCCCUUCAUCUAGGGCCUUUUGCGGUACACAAGGUCUGGUUCCUGCCUCAAUUUGUUCCACUUGCUGAACAUGGUGUCCAAGUGAUUCAUAUGUGUCAUCUCGUCUAACUCCUACCACAGCCUGUUGAGGUAGUUUCUACUGGAAAGACUGGGGUGUGUGGAGGGUUAAGUGCCCGCCCUCUGGUACUGGGCAGCUUGGAUUCACCAUUUCCAGCUGUGUGAUUUUCAGCGCGUGCCUUCGCAGACCUGUUGAUUAUCCAGUGAGGACAUCUGCAGUGUACAGCUCCCAAACAGUGGAGACCAUCAUGAUGUGCCUCUGAAUCCGUUCUGCGUGGCUGGGGAGGUCUCAGGAAACUUAGAAUCAUGGCAGAAGGUGAAGGCGAAGCAAGGCAUGUCUUACAUGGUGUCAGGAGAGAGGGAGAAAGGGAGAGGAGGAGAAGGGGAGACGGGGAGAGGGGGAGAGAGAGAGGCAGGUGAAAGAGGGAGGGAGGGAGAGAGAGAGACAGCGAGAGAGAGCGAGAGCAGGGGAAGAGCCGUACAAUUAUCAAACAACCAGAUCUCGUGAGAAUGCUAUCACGAGAACAGCAAGGGGGAAAUCCACGCCCAUGAUUCAAUCACCUCCCAGCAGACCACU
rnacentral:lncRNA from 10 species